rnacentral:lncRNA from 1 species
CUUUUACAUAGCUGUUUGUGAUGCUAAAGCUGGGAUUCCCAAAACUGUCUUGCCCUUUUGUCCGCUCUCCUUCUGUCAGGCUCAGCCGAAGGAGGGCGCUAGAGCGAGGCCGCAAGGCUGGAGGAGGGUGAAGGGACUGCUCUUCUGUUUCCUGCUCCCUUCCUGUUUUCUUAUGGUUUCUGCGAGUGUCACCCCAGCAGCCCUUUCUCAUCCAGCGCUAGUAAUUCCCUCUGCAGAAGGCGCUGAAGCCAGUCUGCCGUUUUUCCAAUAAUUGCAAAACCAGCCUCACGGGCCCCCAUCAUGGUCACCAGCAGCGGACCAGUGUGUGCCUCUCCGUCACCAGAGUUUUGGGUCCCUGCACAGUGGGACCCUUCUCUAAGUUUCUAAAUUUUAAUAAUUCCAGACACUUCUCUUUCUUCCCCUCUGACGUAAGGAUGACGGUGCUUCCUGUAGCUGUAGCCGUUAUGACCUUAGAAUUCUUUUCACCUUUUCAAUCUCCUAGUUAAAAAUUUUAUGCAUGGUUAACCAUUCUUGUAUUGAAUUCUCUGUUUUUAAAAAGCCUCAGCUAAGGCAUUAAUCCUGCUUAGACCUGGGUCAGGUCCUUAAGUCAGCUCACUGAGGGUUUUCUUCAAGAACCUCUGAUACUCAAUGAGUUGGCAAAUCCCUGAGACACAGAAUCUUAGAGUUGAACUGUAACCUGGAUGAUAAGUGGUUCAGACUCUCCUAUACGUAUUCAGACAGGAAAUUCUCCAGAGGGCAGAAGGGAAAUUCAUUUCAUUACUACAGCAUGAUAGAAAUAUUUCUUAAAGAACAUCAAAUUCCCUUUGUUCCAAUUCAGUGCUCUCCAGUACUGAAAUGAUAGAGGAAAAAAAGGAAGAUGAAAUGUUGAUUAUAUGGUAGUAUGAGAUGAGAGCAGGAAAAGGAUGAUUUUUAUGAGCUCAUGUUCUUGCAACCUAAUUCAUCAGUUUGAAAUUCAAACACUCGUCAAGCAAGAGAAACCAGCUGCCAUAAUGUGCGUUGUCCUAUAGAGAGACCAAGGUGGCAAAAAACACCCCUGAGGAGUCCACUGGUCAGCAGCCAGUGAGAAACUGAAACCUGCAAUUCAACAACAAGUCAACGAGCCGUGAGAGUGGUCCUGGAAGUGAGU